AGAUUGAACGCUGGCGGCGUGCCUAACACAUGCAAGUCGAGCGGGCGUAGCAAUACGUCAGCGGCAGACGGGUGAGUAACGCGUGGGAACAUACCUUUUGGUUCGGAACAACCCAGGGAAACUUGGGCUAAUACCGGAUAAGCCCUUACGGGGAAAGAUUUAUCGCCGAAAGAUUGGCCCGCGUCUGAUUAGCUAGUUGGUGAGGUAACGGCUCACCAAGGCGACGAUCAGUAGCUGGUCUGAGAGGAUGAUCAGCCACAUUGGGACUGAGACACGGCCCAAACUCCUACGGGAGGCAGCAGUGGGGAAUAUUGGACAAUGGGCGCAAGCCUGAUCCAGCCAUGCCGCGUGAGUGAUGAAGGCCCUAGGGUUGUAAAGCUCUUUUGUGCGGGAAGAUAAGUGACGGUACCGCAAGAAUAAGCCCCGGACUAACUUCGCGCCAGCAGCCGC
rnacentral:rRNA from 1 species